rnacentral:snRNA from 1 species
GGAUAUGAGAGUGAUCUGGCUGUGACAUCUGUCACCCCACUCAUUGCCAGGGUUGAUUCAGCUUAUCUGGCAGGAUAGGCAGUAUGCCCUUCCUUCCUCCUGUCUUCAUGUGCAUCCUUCCCAAAGCUGUGUACUCAGUCAAAGAAGAGGGGACCUUCCCAGAUAGAGGAGGACCAUUCUUUGGUUAAGGGUAUAUGAGUAGCUGCGCACCCCUGCUAGAACCUCCAAAUAAGCUCUUGAGAAGAAAAGAAGAUUAAAAAAAUAAUAAACAGAGCAUCCAUUAGUAAGCUAUGGGA